AGUGAACGCUGGCGGUAGGCCUAACACAUGCAAGUCGAACGGCAGCACAGUAAGAGCUUGCUCUUACGGGUGGCGAGUGGCGGACGGGUGAGGAAUACAUCGGAAUCUACUUUUUCGUGGGGGAUCACGUAGGGAAACUUACGCUAAUACCGCAUACGACCUACGGGUGAAAGCAGGGGAUCUUCGGACCUUGCGCGACUGAAUGAGCCGAUGUCGGUUUAGCUAGUUGGCGGGGUAAAGGCCCACCAAGGCGACGAUCCGUAGCUGGUCUGAGAGGAUGAUCAGCGACACUGGAACUGAGACACGGUCCAGACUCCUACGGGAGGCAGCAGUGGGGACUAUUGGACAAUGGGCGCAUGCCUGAUCCAGCCAUACCGCGUGGGUGAAGAAGGCCUUCGGGUUGUAAAGCCCUUUUGUUGGGAAAGAAAAGCAGCAGGUUAAGACCCCGCUGUUCUGACGGUACCCAAAGAAUAAGCACCGGCUAACUUCGUG
rnacentral:rRNA from 1 species